AACAGUGAAAGAUUAGGCUUGGGAUGUGAAGUAAAAGAUGUACGAGAUGAUAGAAGAAAAAAAUGGUGAGAAAUAUGCCAAUGGUUGUUCCUCAUUUGUAUGUGGGAUGUAAAGUAAAAGGUGUACGAGAUGAUAGAAGAAAAAAAAUGGUGAGAAAUAUGCCAAUGGUUGUUCCUAAUUUGUAUGAAAUAUUUAGUCUUAGAGGAUACAUGUACCUGGGAGCUAAGGAAAAUGCUAAAAGGG
rnacentral:lncRNA from 1 species